CCCUUAGACGUUCUGGGCCGCACGCGCGCUACACUGACGAAGGCAACGAGCUUUCCUUUACCGAAAGGUACGGGUAAUCUUUUGAAACUUCGUCGUGCUGGGGAUAGAUCCUUGCAAUUUUUGAUCUUAAACGAGGAAUGCCUAGUAAGCGCAAGUCAUCAACUUGCGUUGAUUACGUCCCUGCCCUUUGUACACACCGCCCGUCGCUACUACCGAUUGAAUGGUUUAGUGAGGCCUUCGGAUCCGCGACUCGUUUGUGGAGAAGUUGGACAAACUCAGUCAUUUAGAGGAAGUAAGAGUCGUAACA
rnacentral:rRNA from 1 species